rfam:Rattus norvegicus chromosome 10, whole genome shotgun sequence.
GGGGAUUUAGCUCAGUGGUAGAGCACUUGCCUAGCAAGCUCAAGACCCUGGGUUCGGUCCCCAGCUCCG